rnacentral:rRNA from 1 species
AACGAACGCUGGCGGCAGGCCUAACACAUGCAAGUCGAGCGAAGCCUUCGGGCUCAGCGGCGGACGGGUGAGUAACGCGUGGGAACGUGCCCUUUGGUACGGAAUAGCCCCGGGAAACUGGGAGUAAUACCGUAUGUGGUCGAGAGACGAAAGAUUUAUCGCCAAAGGAUCGGCCCGCGUUGGAUUAGGUAGUUGGUGGGGUAAUGGCCUACCAAGCCGACGAUCCAUAGCUGGUUUGAGAGGAUGAUCAGCCACACUGGGACUGAGACACGGCCCAGACUCCUACGGGAGGCAGCAGUGGGGAAUCUUAGACAAUGGGGAAACCCUGAUCUAGCCAUGCCGCGUGAUCGAUGAAGGCCUUAGGGUUGUAACGAUCUUUCAGUGGGAAGAUAAUGACUGUACCCACAGAAGAAGCCCCGGCUAACUCCGUGCCAGCCGCCGCCUAAUAC